AACGAACGCUGGCGGCAUGCCUAACACAUGCAAGUCGAACGAGACCUUCGGUUCUAGUGGCGCACGGGUGCGUAACGCGUGGGAACCUGCCCUUAGGUUCGGAAUAACUCCCCGAAAGGGGUGCUAAUACCUGAUAAUUUCUUCGGACCAAAGAUUUAUCGCCUUUGGAUGGGCCCGCGUUGGAUUAGCUAGUUGGUAGGGUAAAAGCCUACCAAGGCGACGAUCCAUAGCUGGUCUGAGAGGAUGAUCAGCCACACUGGGACUGAGACACGGCCCAGACUCCUACGGGAGGCAGCAGUGGGGAAUAUUGGACAAUGGGCGAAAGCCUGAUCCAGCAAUGCCGCGUGAGUGAUGAAGGCCUUAGGGUUGUAAAGCUCUUUUACCCGGGAUGAUAAUGACAGUACCGGGAGAAUAAGCGCCGGCUAACUCCGUG
rnacentral:rRNA from 1 species